rnacentral:lncRNA from 13 species
UAGCUUCCCUAUUGGCUUCUUACAAGUCACUCAUGCACUGGUGUCGAUGACGUAAAUUGUGCACUAGGUACACUGUAUCGUUUGGUUGAACUGAAUAGUUACAUUUUACGUUAAACGGAAAAGGUUAGAGUGGAUUUCUCUAAAGAGACAUCGAUCAUGAUUAUAGCGCUUUGUCUUUUCAUUACAUCUCUAUUUUAAGCAAUUCCUAUAUCUUUUCACACCAUUGUCGAUGUGAUAUUUCAGGGAGUGACAUCGUCCUCACCACAACGGUCGAGAAACUGGUGACCUGAGUGAACAAUGAACUGAGGGCAACCCCCCCACCCCACCCCUACCCCUCCCCCCCACCCCCCUCUCCA